UAAAUUAACCUAUUUCUGGAUUUAAGUGCUAUUUUUAAAUUACUGUUCUUUAGAAACGUACAAAUCGCUUAAGUACUUCUACUCUACCCUAGAUGGUUCCACUAGCGCUAGUUUUUGCAUAUUAUUUUUUAUCUGUGUAAAAAUUAACCCCAUUUAUCUGUUUUCAAAUAUAUAUUUUGCAAUAUAUUUAAGACCUAUUUUCAAUACUAAAUGAAAUCGAUCGUGUAAACGUGCCUUUUGUCAUAGACAAAAUUUUCUAAGGACGGCCAUGUGCAUGCGCUCGUGUAAUGCGACAAAAUUAAAAACACGCUCCAUCAUGCCUGACAAGACACUAACGCAGCCCACGCGAUUUAGUCGGAUUGUAGUCAACUUUGUUAAAGUUCCUCACAGAUGGCGUGUGUAAAUAAAAAUAAAGAAAUUAACAACGAAACUUGACCGUCUUAAGGUUUUAAUAUGUAUUUUAUAUUAAUUUGAUAAUAAGGCCACAUUUAUUCAAUUAGUAUAGUACUAUUCUAGAAUGAAUCGACAUAUCUAUGUAAGUAUACAUAGAAAUUUUGCUCCUGGCAGCUCUAGGAUCCGUCACUUUAUUUACUUCCGUUCAUUAUGUUUCGUAUUAUAUUUUUUAUACAACAGCUUUCAAUUUACGCACUUAAAACUUGUCAUUAAAUCCCGAAACUAUUAAUUAAAUUCAUAGAUACCAAAGUUAUCCCAACCACCAGUGUACCUCUGAUUUAACACCUUUAUAAGUAAACAAAUGACAACCAUCCGAACGCCAUAUUGUAAUUGUUGUAUAGCAAGAAAGUUGACAAACAAUAACCAAUAUAACCAUGACAGAAAUUCAAACUGAACUGGAAAAGAUCGUCUUCGAGUGUGCUUCUUAUGAUUCCCUAAAUAUCCUAUCUAUUGCUUAUGGCAAGAACUGCACUAGACAAACGAAAUAGAGUUUCGGAUUCAAACAUGUGUUUUUUUUUUUUUUUCGUUCGUCAAAAAUGUAUAAAUGUUCAGUGAAUCCAGUGCCCUGUGAUGACCUAUGACCUAACGUUUGAACUGUAUAGAAACAAGGAUGUUUAAUUAAUGUGCCUAGCUACUGAUGAUUGAAAUGGACUCAAGUAUUGAACCUGUUACUUCUAGAAAGCAAGGUGACAACUCCAUUGAAAUGAACCCUGCCACGAACUGUUAUUGAUCAAAAUGUAUGGAAAUUAUGCUGGAGAACCCUAUUUGCUGGUUUUGAUGAAUCUUUACACAAACUUUAAGACAAACAAAAUACCUAUAUGAUACCUAGCCGUUAAGAAACUUAAUGGAUAGUCAAACUGAAGCCAAGGGAAGGAAAUCUCCAUUGUUACUAUCAUGGUUCCUGUCCCACUAUGUCUUUCCACAAUCUCCAAAGUUUCCCGGAGAACUGACAAUGCCCCGCAGAGUCAACCUAUCUACCCUCAAUGUACACACUGCUGUAUGCUUCUUAUGAAAGAUAACCACGAGCCCUACUACUGAGGCUUCUGUUCGUUAGCUUAUCUCAAGAAUUUUGCUGCUACGAUGGCAGCUAUCUACACUGAACACUAAAGAAAAUGAGACCCAUGUUUUCCCUUCAUAUACAAGAUGUACUAGCAGCUACAAAAAUGAAGAUUGUUCCUAAAAGUCCCUAGCAUGACUAUGUGAUGAAAGACUAUGAAAAUGAAAGGCACCUUCUAGACGGCAGUAUCUCUAUGAACACUACCCUGAACUAAGACUGAAACCUGAAAAAAUGUAUUUAAGACCUUAGUUAUUGAAUAAUAAAGUUAAUAUUUGUCUUUUUAUUUCAAAA